AGUCGAACGGCAGCACGGACUUCGGUCUGGUGGCGGUAGCGAACGGGUGAGUAAUGUAUCGGAACGUGCCCUAAUAGCAGGAUAACUACGCGAAAGCGUAGCUAAUACAUACGCCUUCGGGGGAAAGCCGGGAGGACCUUCGGGCCUCGCUAUUAGAAGCGGCCGAUAUCGGAUUAGCUGGAUUGGUGGGGUAACGGCUCACCAGGCGACGAUCCGUAACCUGGUUGAGAGGACGACCAGCCACUGGGACUGAGACACGGCCCAGACUCCUACGGAGGCAGCAGUGGGGGAAUUUUGGACAAUGGGGGAAACCCUGAUCCAGCCAUCCCGCGUGUGCGAUGAAGGCCUUCGGGUUGUAAAGCACUUUUGGCAGGAAAGAAACGGCACGGGAUAAUACCCCGUGCAGCGAGCGGUACCUGCAGAAUAAGCACCGGCUAACUACGUGCCAGCAGCCGCGGUAAAUACGUAGGGUGCAAGCGUUAAUCGGAAUUUACUGGGCGUAAAGCGUGCGCAGGCGGUUCGGAAGAAAGAUGUGAAAUCCCAGGCUUAGCUUUUUGAACUCUGCAUUUUAUCUACCGGGCUGAGUGUGUCAGAGGGAGGUGGAAUUCCGCGUGUAGCAGUGAAAUGCGUAGAUAUGCGGAGGAACACCGAUGAAGGCCAGCACUCCUGGGAUAACACUGACGCUCAUGCGAAAAGCGUGGGGAGCAAACAAGUUAGAUACCCUGACAGUCCACGCCUAAACGAUGUCAACUAGCUGUUGGGGCCUUCGGGCCUUGGUAGCGCAGCUAACGCGCGUGAAGUUGACCGCCUGGGGAGUACGGUCGCAAGGAUUAAAACUCAAAGGAAUUGACGGGGACCCGCACAAGCGGUGGAUGAUGUGGAUUAAUUCGAUGCAACGCGAAAAACCUACCCUUGACUAUGUCUGAGUCGAAGAAGAUUUGGGAGUGCUCAUAAAGAACCGAACCUGGAAUAUGGCUGUCGUCAGCUCGUGUCGUGAGAUGUUGGGUUAAGUCCCGCAACGAGCGCAACCCUUGUCAUUAGUUGCUACGAAAGGGCACUCUAAUGAGACUGCUGCGGUGACAAGCCGGAGGAAGGUGGGGAUGACGUCAAAUCCUCAUGGCCCAUAUGGGUAGGGCUUCACACGCCAUACAAUGGUCGGGACAGAGGGUCGCCAACCCGCGAGAGGCCAAUCAGAAACCCGAUCUAUAGUCCGGAUCGCAGUCUGCAACUCGACUGCGUGAAGUCGGAAUCGCUAGUAAUCGCGGAUCAACUGUCGCGGUGAAUACGUUCCCGGGUCUUGUACCCUGCCCGUCACACCAUGGGAGUGGGUUUUACCAGAAGUAGUUAGCUAAACAGUAAGGAGACGUGCAAGUAGGAUUCAUGACUGGGGUGAAGUCGUAACAAAAAGGUAACU
rnacentral:rRNA from 1 species